rnacentral:tRNA from 1 species
UCCCUGGUGGCUCAGCUGGUAAAGAAUCCGCCUGCAACGCGGGAGACCUGGGCUCGAUCCCUGGCUUGGGAA